UACGUAGGGUGCAGGCGUUAAUCGGAAUUACUGGGCGUAAAGCGUGCGCAGGCGGUUGUGCAAGACAGAUGUGAAAUCCCCGGGCUUAACCUGGGAACUGCAUUUGUGACUGCACGGCUAGAGUGUGUCAGAGGGGGGUAGAAUUCCACGUGUAGCAGUGAAAUGCGUAGAGAUGUGGAGGAAUACCGAUGGCGAAGGCAGCCCCCUGGGAUAACACUGACGCUCAUGCACGAAAGCGUGGGGAGCAAACAGG
rnacentral:rRNA from 1 species